ACAUGUGAAACACUCAUGUUUCUAAUUUAAAUUUAAAAAAAUUUUUAAAGUGCCUAUGGAGGACUCUCCUGCUGUCCACUUUCAGCUAUGGGGCCUAGUUGAGCCCGUUGUCAGGAUUUUGGGUUUCUAGUCUCUUCAACUGCAUAGUUAGUAGUAGUACUUAAAUGACUAAGAAGUCAGCAAUACCGCAUAAAAGCGGGUCCUAUAAAUAGACCUGGGGACCCCAAAACCUAUGAGGAAACUGGGCAAAGAAAAGCUAAGCCCACUGCCUGAGAUGACACAGCAAGUAGGUGAUUGAAAACAUUAGAACCAUGGACAGUACGGCUUCCAGAUUGAAGCUGGAUCUCACCUGUGACCUGCUUCUCAGUUACUGAUCACAGUGACCCUGGGAAGCCGCUAGAGGGGGGGCAGGGAAAGCAAGGAGGGGCUACAGGAAACCAGGAUUCUUCCUAGGGGCAGUGUGGAGGGCAGGGCACAGGCUCUGUCCCUCCUCAGCUCCUCUGGGAGCCCCCCAGAUGCCAUCUUCAAGCUGCCUGGGGAGACAGCAUCCCCCUCGUUGGCUGGUGGGGGUUUCACAAAUGUUGGGAAUGAAGAUCCAGCUAAAAUUAACCGUUAUCAAGCUGCCAGCCCUGCAAAUAAACCUGCCUCCCAUUGGCUGGUGGUGAUGUCACUGUCAGGUUAAUAAUAGCUACAGUGCCCAGCUAACCACCUGUGUGGGUGCCUUCUGUGAGCCAUGGCCAGGCCAGCCUCCUGGAGUCAAUGUCCAACAGAUGUGUGCCAUUUGGCCUCAGGUGGCUUAUUCGGGGCCUUAGAGACAGGGUGAGGGUCUGGGGACGCCUUCUAGCCAGAGAGUUCCCAGGAAGCUUCACCUGGUUUGAGCUGCCAGAUACCUUCUGGUCCCAAAGCACAGUCCUUGGGCAUGGAGCCCUUAACCAGUCAUCUACCUGAGCCUGAGUCCUGGGCAGUCACUGAAACAAAGUCCUCCCUUGAGACCAGCUUCCAGGCAGGUACCAGGAGACUGAGUGAGCUCCUGAGGCAGUAAAUAAACUGAGGGGAUGUCUGGGCUCUGGGGCCACUCCUUGAUAAUUCAGUACCUUCCUGAGUUAGAGCUGCUGGGCGGGUGGCAGAUAAACUGCAUACCUGGAAAACAGCUGAAUUUCAGGCUAACCAGGACCCCAAAUAUACUAUCCUCCAAGGCAUUGGGCCUGUAAGGUCUGAGACAUCCUGAGUCUGUCAGAGAGCCCAGAGCUGCAGGGAGCUGUUGCCAUGGUGAGCAGCAGCUCAAGCAGGCAGGAGGCUCCUCCCUCCUCCUCCAGGGAGCCCAGCCCUAUAUCAUCCAAGGAGCAGAGAGAGCUGUUCAUCCUCUGGAAACCAGUAAGAGUAUGACAGACACUGUGGGACACAAGUCACAUUCCACCAACGCCACACAGAAGACCAGUUUCUACGCCCAGAAACAGAAGAGCUUUGGGAAGUGACGCUGGGUUCUGUGGUCGCCUCUGAAGAUGGCUGGCCUUUGUUCAAUUGACGUUCAGCUACCAGAUCUACACAGACUGCUUUCCAAGGUGUUAGAGCCACCCUCGUGACUCCUCCUGGGUGCCGUUCAGCCUUCAGCCUCUGUCUCCCCUGGAUGUAUCUAGGGCAGGCAUUACUAUAAAUUGAAGUCCUUCCUCAAAUAAAUAAAAAUAAACAAGGAGGCCCACACAUGCUGGCGGGACCCAU